CCUACGGGGGGCUGCAGAGGGGAAUAUUGGACAAUGGGGGGAACCCUGAUCCAGCCAUGCCGCGUGUGUGAAGAAGGCCCUCGGGUUGUAAAGCACUUUCAGUGAGGAAGAACGCCUGGUGGUUAAUACCCAUCAGGAAAGACAUCACUCACAGAAGAAGCACCGGCUAACUCCGUGCCAGCAGCCGCGGUAAUACGGAGGGUGCGAGCGUUAAUCGGAAUUACUGGGCGUAAAGCGCGCGUAGGUGGCUUGAUAAGCUGGUUGUGAAAGCCCCGGGCUCAACCUGGGAACGGCAUCCGGAACUGUCAAGCUAGAGUGCAGGAGAGGAAGGUAGAAUUCCCGGUGUAGCGGUGAAAUGCGUAGAGAUCGGGAGGAAUACCAGUGGCGAAGGCGGCCUUCUGGACUGACACUGACACUGAGGUGCGAAAGCGUGGGUAGCAAACAGGAUUAGAUACCCCAGUAGUC
rnacentral:rRNA from 1 species